GACGAACGCUGGCGGCGUGCUUAACACAUGCAAGUCGAACGGAAAGGCCCUGCUUUUGUGGGGUGCUCGAGUGGCGAACGGGUGAGUAACACGUGAGUAACCUGCCCUUGACUUUGGGAUAACUUCAGGAAACUGGGGCUAAUACCGGAUAGGAGCUCCUGCUGCAUGGUGGGGGUUGGAAAGUUUCGGCGGUUGGGGAUGGACUCGCGGCUUAUCAGCUUGUUGGUGGGGUAGUGGCUUACCAAGGCUUUGACCGGUAGCCGGCCUGCGAGGGUGACCGGCCACAUUGGGACUGAGAUACGGCCCAGACUCCUACGGGAGGCAGCAGUGGGGAAUAUUGCACAAUGGGCGGAGGCCUGAUGCAGCAACGCCGCGUGCGGGAUGACGGCCUUCGGGUUGUAAACCGCUUUCGCCUGUGACGAAGCGUGAGUGACGGUAAUGGGUAAAGAAGCACCGGCUAACUACGUG
rnacentral:rRNA from 1 species